AGAUGCGAGAGCGAUCUGGCUGCGACAUCUGUCACCCUAUUGAUCGCCAGGGUUGAUUCGGCUGAUCUGCCUGGCUAGACCGGUGUCCCCCUCCUCCCUCACUGAUCCAUGUGCGUCCCUCCCAAAGCUGCCCACUUGGUGGAAGAGGACGACCUUCCCCCCAGAGGAGAGGACCGGUCUUCGGUCAAGGGUAUAGGAGUAGCUGUGCUCCCCUGCUAGAACCUCCAAACAAGCUCUCAAGGUCCAUUUGUAGGAGAACGUAGGGUAGUCAACCUUCUAAGACUCCAGACACAUCCAAAUGAGGUGCUGCACGUGGCAGUCUGCCUUUCUUU
ensembl:misc_RNA 7SK 7SK RNA